GACGAACGCUGGCGGCGCGCUUAACACAUGCAAGUCGAACGGAAAGGCCUGCUUUCCCUUGUGGAUUGCGGGUACUCGAGUGGCGAACGGGUGAGUAACACGUGAGUGAUCUGCCCCCAACUUGGGUAUAAGCCUGGGAAACUGGGUCUAAUUCCCGAUAGGACUGCAGUGUGGUGCCUGUGGUGGAAAACGAUUUUCUAGUGGUUGGGGAUGAGCUCGCGGCCUAUCAGCUUGUUGGGGGGGUAAUGGCGUACCAAGGCGGCGACGGGUAGCCGGCCUGAGAGGGUGGACGGGCACAUUGGGACGGAGAGACGGCCCAGACUCCUACGGGAGGCAGCAGUGGGGAAUAUUGCACAAUGGGCGGAAGCCUGAUGCAGCGACGCCGCGUGGGGGAUGACGGCCUUCGGGUUGUAAACUCCUUUCGACCGCGAGGAAGCCACCUGGUUGGAAGGGUGGUGACGGUAGUGGUAGAAGAAGCACCGGCUAACUACGU
rnacentral:rRNA from 1 species